rnacentral:rRNA from 1 species
AGUGGCGAGCGUUUCCGGAUUUAUUGGGUUUAAGGGAGCGUAGGCGGCUGAUUAAGUCAGCGGUGAAAGGUAGCAGCUUAACUGUUUUACAUGCCGUUGAUACUGGUUAGCUGAGUUGACAGAAGGCAGAUAGAAUUCCUGAUGUAGCGGUGAAAUGCUUAGAUAUCAGGAGGAAUACCGAUUGCGAAGGCAGUCUGCUGCAGUCACACUGACGCUGAGGCUCGAAGGUGCGGGGAUCAAACAGGAUUAGAUACCCUGGUAGUCCGCACAGUAAACGAUGAUUACUAGAUGUUGGCCAAGCCAGUGUCCAAGGGAAACCGAUAAGUAAUCCACCUGGGGAGUACGCCGGCAACGGUGAAACUCAAAGGAAUUGACGGGGGCCCGCACAAGCGGUAAUCGAAUUCCCGC